rnacentral:rRNA from 1 species
GUGAGGAAUAUUGGUCAAUGGGCGAGAGCCUGAACCAGCCAAGUCGCGUGAAGGAAGAAGGAUCUAUGGUUCGUAAACUUCUUUUGCAGGGGAAUAAAGUGCGGGACGUGUCCUGUUUUGUAUGUACCCUGAGAAUAAGGAUCGGCUAACUCCGUGCCAGCAGCCGCGGUAAUACGGAGGAUCCGAGCGUUAUCCGGAUUUAUAGGGUUUAAAGGGUGCGUAGGUGGUUUGAUAAGUCAGCGGUGAAAGUUUGCAGCUUAACUGUAAAAAUGCCGUUGAAACUGUCGGACUUGAGUGUAAAUGAGGUAGGCGGAAUGCGUGGUGUAGCGGUGAAAUGCAUAGAUAUCACGCAGAACUCCGAUUGCGAAGGCAGCUUACUAAGCUACAACUGACACUGAAGCACGAAAGCGUGGGGAUCAAACAGGAUUAGAAACCCUUGUAGUCC